rnacentral:misc_RNA from 1 species
GUGGAUAUGCUUUUUCAUAACUUGGACUUGUACAACAAGUUGAAGAAUGGAAUUGAAAUUGCAGAAUUGCAGAGUUCUGAAUCAGUCUCACUUAAUACUGGAGAAAGAAUUACAAUUGCUAAGAGCUUUCCUGGAUCUCUAUCAAAUAUGGCUGUCACUGUAGCUGAAGCUUUGGAAGGGAAGCGGGUGGAGACCUUCAUAAAUGCAC